rnacentral:rRNA from 1 species
GAGCUGGGUUUAGAACGUCGUGAGACAGUUCGGUCCCUAUCUGCCGUGGGUGUAGGAGAAUUGAGUGGAGUUGCCCCUAGUACGAGAGGACCGGGGUGAACGGACCACUGGUGGACCUGUUGUGGCGCCAGCCGCAGUGCAGGGUAGCUAUGAUCGGAAAGGAUAACCGCUGAAGGCAUCUAAGCGGGAAGCCCCCCUCAAAACAAGGUAUCCCUGAGAGCCGAGGUAGACCACCUCGUCGAUAGGCCGGAGAUGUAAGCGCAGCAAUGCGUUCAGUUGACCGGUACUAAUGGCUCGAUAGGCUUGAU